AUUGUCCGAGUUGUAGUCUAGAGAAGCAUUUUCCGCGCUGGACCGUGUACAAGUCUCUUGGAAUAGAGCGUCAUAGAGGGUGAGAAUCCCGUCCAUGACACGGACUACCAGUGCUUUGUGAUGUGCUCUCAAAGAGUCGAGUUGUUUGGGAAUGCAGCUCAAAAUGGGUGGUAAAUUCCAUCUAAAGCUAAAUAUUGGCGAGAGACCGAUAGCGAACAAGUACCGUGAGGGAAAGAUGAAAAGCACUUUGGAAAGAGAGUUAAACAGUACGUGAAAUUGCUGAAAGGGAAACGAUUGAAGUCAGUCGCGUUAUUCAGAACUCAGCCUUACCUCGGUAUGGUGCAUUUUCUGUUUAACGGGCCAGCAUCAGUUUUGAUUGCCGGAAAAAGGUUAGAGAAAUGUGGCACCUUCGGGUGUGUUAUAGUCUCUAAUUGUAUACGGUGGUUGGGACUGAGGAACUCAGUACACCUUUAUGGUCGGGGUUCGCCCACGUUUGUACUUAGGAUGCUGGCGUAAUGGCUUUAAGCGACCCGUCUUGAAACACGGACCAAGGAGUCUAACAUGCCUGCGAGUGUUUGGGUGGUAAACCCGAGCGCGUAAUGAAAGUGAAAGUUGGGAUCUCUGUCGUGGAGAGCACCGACGCCCGGACCAGAACUUCUGUGACGGCCCUGCGGUAGAGCAUGUAUGUUGGGACCCGAAAGAUGGUGAACUAUGCCUGAAUAGGGUGAAGCCAGAGGAAACUCUGG
rnacentral:rRNA from 1 species